rnacentral:rRNA from 1 species
UACGUAGGGUGCGAGCGUUAAUCGGAAUUACUGGGCGUAAAGCGUGCGCAGGCUGUUCUGUAAGUCAGAAUGUGAAAUCCCCGAGCUCAACUUGGGAACUGCGUUUGAAACUACAGGACUAGAAUAUGAUCGAGAGGGGGUAGGAAUUCCACGUGUAGCAGUGAAAUGCGUAGAGAUGUGGAGGAAUACCAAUGGCGAAGGCAGCCCCCUGGGAUAAUAUUGACGCUCAUGCACGAAAGCGUGGGGAGCAAACAGG